AAAAUUAAUGUUUAUUUCUAAGUUUUUGUUUUUUUUCUUCUCAGUCCAACCAAUAAAUGGGUUAAUGGUUGAAGAUAGGUACAUGAACCCAUUUUUGCGCUUAUAGUAUCAAACAAUCUAAUUUUUUUCCAUAUUGAAUUGUUAUUAUAUAUUAUUAUUAAUAAUGUUGGGUAUUCAUAAAAAAAAAUUGAUGUCCUAAGCCAAUGUCAGGCUUAGGAGGUGAACGAGGAUUUGAUAAAAUAUACCAACUUUUAAUAAUUAUACAUUAUUCAUCCCAUGUUGAGCGAGAAGCUAGCAGAUUCCACCCUUGAUAUAUUGUUUAUAAUACAAAAUAAUCAAGUCAAGUGAUAACUGAGGAUAAAAUGUGAGACCUCCCGAGGGCGAGUCGGUACCAACAGCAGCAGAGCGAGGGAGCGGGCGAGAGUAAUGGUCGCCUUAUUUGUUGUGGUCUGCACUUCUUGGCCUCUUCCUCUCAUCUUUACAUUGCUUGCCUCUGUUCCCGGACAUGUCAUGAGCCAGGGAGUGAUGCUGCUAAGACCUUCACUGUCUAUCCAGAGGGAUCCACAGGUGCUGGUGGUGGAAUCUUGCUUGGACAGUGUGGAUGGCAAGCAGUCAGGGUUCCAGUCAAAGGUGGUGGUGAUCCAUGCCCAGGACACCAGGGAGGAUGCACUGCAGCUUGCAUCUCAGCUGAGGAAUCCCAUGGAGGGCAACAGAUUGUAUGUGUUGCUUCUGCAAGAGUCUAAGAAGAACACACAAGUUAAGAGCAGCCUGAGGUGUGAUCCAUGGAACAGCAUCCACAAGUGGUUCAUCAAGGUUGAUGCUGUGCUGCCGGUACUGUCGCCUCAGCUUCUGCGUCAGAUUCAGAACAGAGACUUCAGCAGAGAGAGUGAGUGGGAGAAACGCUACAACCGCUUUGCCCACUCGAUGAUGCUAGACCAGCAUGUGGAGUACGGGAGCAAGAAUGGGUUCUGCCGUGCCGUUUGUCCUGCCAGAUUCCCGGAGGAGACACACUUCAGUCACAAGAUGAAUGCAGUCAGCUACAGCAUGACAUAGACAAGCUAUAGACAGUUGAGAGAGGAAGAAGUCAGUGGCACCCUCACCUCAGACAAGACAAAGCUAACAAUUGAUAAUGAAAGACACACUUCAGUCACAAGAUGAAUGCAGUCAGCUACAGCAUGACAUAGACAAGCUAUAGACAGUUGAGAGAGGAAGAAGUCAGUGGCACCCUCACCUCAGACAAGACAAAGCUAACAAUUGAUAAUGAAAGACACACUUCAGUCACAAGAUGAAUGCAGUCAGCUACAGCAUGACAUAGACAAGCUAUAGACAGUUGAGAGAGGAAGAAGUCAGUGGCACCCUCACCUCAGACAAGACAAAGCUAACAAUUGAUAAUGAAAGACCAGCAGCAGCAGCAGCAGCAGCAGCAGCAGCAGCACACAAGAGGUGUUUUCUGUAUGAUGAUGAUAAUGGAAAAAAGCAUGUUAUAAGCAGGGCAACGUAAUGAAAUUCAGUGAAUGGACGUGUGUGCGUGGCUGCAAUCACUAUGAAAUUAAGUUGAAAAUAAGAAAUAUAUUACUUUACAGAAAGGAAUGCUUAGAGUGAAUGAAAUUACUGUAAUGAAUGAAUGGAAAUAAAGUUGUGAGUCAUUAAAUGAUUAGGAAAAGAAGCUGUGAAUAGGUGCAUUAUUGUUAUUACUGAAAGGAAGAAUAUUUGUAGGAUAUGUCAUGUAUAUUAUCAAAGUGUUUUCAUUCUUACUUUCUUCUUUCUCUUUCAUCUUUUCUUAGUAUAUUUAAGUGAAUCUCUCUCUCUCUCUCUCUCUCUCUCUCUCUCUCUCUCUCUCUCUCUCUCUCUCUCUCUCUCUCUCUCUCUCUCUCUCUC